UACAGAGGGGGCAAGCGUUAUUCGGAAUUAUUGGGCGUAAAGGGCGCGUAGGCGGCCUGGCAAGUGGAAGGUGAAAUCCCUCGGCUUAACCGAGGAACUGCCCUCCAAACUGCUUGGCUUGAGUCCGGGAGAGGUGAGUGGAAUUCCAGGUGUAGCGGUGAAAUGCGUAGAUAUCAAGAGGAACACCAGUGGCGAAGGCGAGUCCCUGGACAACUUCUGACGCUGAGGCACGAAAGCUAGGGGAGCAAACAGG
rnacentral:rRNA from 1 species